rnacentral:rRNA from 1 species
UUGUGUGAAUACAUAGCACAUUCGAGGUAGACGCAGAGAACUGAAACAUCUAAGUACCUGCAGGAAGAGAAAGAAAAUUCGAUUCCCUGAGUAGCGGCGAGCGAAACGGGAAAAGCCCAAACCAGCAAGCUUGCUUGUUGGGGUUGUAGGACUCCAAUAUGGUAGUUCUUUCAGAUAGUCGAAUGACUUGGAAAAGUCAGUCAAAGAGGGUAAAAACCCCGUAGACGAAAUGUGGAAGACACCUAGGAGGAUCCUGAGUACGGCGGAACACGAGAAAUUCCGUCGGAAUCCGGGAGGACCAUCUCCCAAGGCUAAAUACUCCCUAGUGACCGAUAGUGAACCAGUACCGUGAGGGAAAGGUGAAAAGCACCCCGGAAGGGGAGUGAAAUAGAACCUGAAACCGUGUGCCUACAACAAGUCAAAGCCCGUUAAUGGGUGAUGGCGUGCCUUUUGUAGAAUGAACCGGCGAGUUACGAUUGCAUGCGAGGUUAAGUUGAAGAGACGGAGCCGCAGCGAAAGCGAGUCUGAAUAGGGCGUUUGAGUAUGUAGUCGUAGACCCGAAACCAUGUGAUCUACCCAUGUCCAGGUUGAAGGUGCGGUAAAACGCACUGGAGGACCGAACCCACGUACGUUGAAAAGUGCGGGGAUGAGGUGUGGGUAGCGGAGAAAUUCCAAACGAACUUGGAGAUAGCUGGUUCUCUCCGAAAUAGCUUUAGGGCUAGCCUCGGAAUUGAGAAUGAUGGAGGUAGAGCACUGUUUGGACUAGGGGCCCAUCUCGGGUUACCGAAUUCAGAUAAACUCCGAAUGCCAUUCAUUCAUAUCCGGGAGUCAGACUGUGAGUGAUAAGAUCCAUAGUCGAAAGGGAAACAGCCCAGACCACCAGCUAAGGUCCCAAAAUAUAUGUUAAGUGGAAAAGGAUGUGGGGUUGCACAGACAACUAGG